AGAGUUUGAUCAUGGCUCAGAACGAACGCUGGCGGCAGGCUUAACACAUGCAAGUCGAGCGCCGUAGCAAUACGGAGCGGCAGACGGGUGAGUAACGCGUGGGAACAUACCCUCCGGUUCGGAAUAACUCAGGGAAACUUGAGCUAAUACCGGAUACGGUCGAGAGGCGAAAGAUUUAUCGCCGGAGGAUUGGCCCGCGUCCGAUUAGCUAGUUGGUGUGGUAACGGCGCACCAAGGCGACGAUCGGUAGCUGGUCUGAGAGGAUGAUCAGCCACAUUGGGACUGAGACACGGCCCAAACUCCUACGGGAGGCAGCAGUGGGGAAUAUUGGACAAUGGGCGCAAGCCUGAUCCAGCCAUGCCGCGUGAGUGAUGACGGCCUUAGGGUUGUAAAGCUCUUUCGCACGCGACGAUAAUGACGGUAGCGUGAGAAGAAGCCCCGGCUAACUUCGUGCCAGCAGCCGCGGUAAUACGAAGGGGGCUAGCGUUGUUCGGAAUUACUGGGCGUAAAGCGCGUGUAGGCGGGCUUUUAAGUCAGCGGGUGAAAUGCCGAGGCUCAACCUCGGAACUGCCUUUGAUACUGGAAGUCUUGAGUCCGGGAGAGGUGAGUGGAACUGCGAGUGUAGAGGUGAAAUUCGUAGAUAUUCGCAAGAACACCAGUGGCGAAGGCGGCUCACUGGCCCGGAACUGACGCUGAGACGCGAAAGCGUGGGGAGCAAACAGGAUUAGAUACCCUGGUAGUCACGCUGUAAACGAUGGAUGCUAGCCGUUGGGGAGCUUGCUCUUCAGUGGCGCAGCUAACGCUUUAAGCAUCCCGCCUGGGGAGUACGGUCGCAAGAUUAAAACUCAAAGAAUUGACGGGGCCCGCACAAGCGGUGGAGCAUGUGGUUUAUUUCGAAGCACGCGCAGAACCUUACAGCUUUGACAUGUC
rnacentral:rRNA from 1 species